AUUAGCAGCCAUAUCACCCUGCAACUCACAACUGGCAACCCACUGAAGCUAAGCAGGUGUGAGCCUGGUCAGUACCUGGAUGGGAGAACUCCUGGGAAAAACUAAGGUUGCUGCUGGAA
ensembl:rRNA 5S_rRNA 5S ribosomal RNA